rnacentral:rRNA from 1 species
UACAGAGGGGGCAAGCGUUGUUCGGAAUGAUUGGGCGUAAAGCGUAUGUAGGUGGCUUUUCAAGUCCGCCGUCAAAUCCUAGGGCUCAACCUUGGACAGGCGGUGGAAACUACCAAGUUGGAGUACGGUAGGGGCAGGCGGAAUUCCGGGUGUAGCGGUGGAAUGCGUAGAGAUCCGGAAGAACACCGGUGGCGAAGGCGGCCUGCUGGGCAGUAGCUGACACUGAGGCGCGACAGCGUGGGGAGCAAACAGG